rnacentral:rRNA from 1 species
GCCUACGAUCAUACUACAUUGAAAGCACCGCAUCCCGUCAGAUCUCCGAAGUUAAGGAAUGUUAGGCUGAGCUAGUGCUACGGUUGGAGACAACGUUGGAACACCCAGCGUCGUAGGCC